GCUGCUGUGUUGUUCCCACCAGAACACAAGAAUCAAUACUCAGUUUAAAGUCAUCACAACAUGAUCAACAGCCUUUCCCAGACCGCUUGCAUGAUGAAUAUAAUAUUAAAUCUGCUUUAAAUCAGGUUCCAUGUUAGGCUUAAAAAGGCUCAAAAUAUAAACUGAUAUCAGAGCCGUGCCGUAUGAAACUGUUAACGUCUGAAAACAUACACAGUAUUGUAGUAUAAACAUGUUUAGAUUUACCAUCAAUCAAUAAUUAAAAUACAUUUGAAAUUAGAAAAA